GACGAACGCUGGCGGCGUGCUUAACACAUGCAAGUCGAACGGAAAGGCCCUGCUUUUGUGGGGUGCUCGAGUGGCGAACGGGUGAGUAACACGUGAGUAACCUGCCCUUGACUUUGGGAUAACUUCAGGAAACUGGGGCUAAUACCGGAUAGGAGCUCCGGCUGCAUGGUGGGGGUUGGAAAGUUUCGGCGGUUGGGGAUGGACUCGCGGCUGAUCAGCUUGUUGGUGGGGUAGUGGCUUACCAAGGCUUUGACGGGUAGCCGGCCUGAGAGGGUGACCGGCCACAUUGGGACUGAGAUACGGCCCAGACUCCUACGGGAGGCAGCAGUGGGGAAUAUUGCACAAUGGGCGGAAGCCUGAUGCAGCAACGCCGCGUGCGGGAUGACGGCCUUCGGGUUGUAAACCGCUUUCGCCUGUGACGAAGCGUGAGUGACGGUAAUGGGUAAAGAAGCACCGGCUAACUACGUG
rnacentral:rRNA from 1 species